rnacentral:lncRNA from 1 species
GAUUUGAGAUUUAUUUGAGAUUUUAGUUCAUUUAGGUUAUUUUUUUUAAUUGUUUAAAAAUAGUUUCUGGUUUCUAAAAAUACUGAAUUUUUUUGUCAAACCUUGUUUGACCUUGUUGAACUUAGGAUGAUCCAUUUGGACUUUUCAAAGUUGAUUUGAAAUGGAUUUAAAGUUUGACCUUCAUUUGUUUAUUUUAAUUCAAGUAUUAUUUUAA